ACUAGCUCCCAGGGGCUCUCUGCUCUCCACGCUGCAGCCACAUCCCUCCUCUCUUCUGGACCUCAACCUUAGAGAUCCUCCCUGUCCCCUGCUGAGUGUCCGCCGCCAUAAGAGUGCCACUAACCAGGACUACGGCAAAGCCAGUUAUAGACACACUUGGAAAAGAAAGGCCCUGAUGCCUUCAGAGAGGAGAUGUGGAGAUGCUCAGGGCCCACCGCCCCUCUCUCAAGCCCCAGUUAGAGCAGAACUCAGUGCAGACACAAGAUGUACGGUCAAGCCGAAGCAGCUCAACAAGAUGAACCACACCCAAGGCCAUCUUUACCAGGCAGAGACAGAAAGCCGUUAAAUGUAGUCCUCACUGGACCCCACACAGAAUCUUCCAGUUGUCUUUGUCUGGUAGUGCCUGGAACCACCGACUGUUUUUCUGAUCCUGGAGUUCAGUUUGCCUUAGUGUCUUAGGGGAAAGGGAUGGGCGGGGGGGAGGUGUUUGUUUCAAUCUUCAUUUGGGGCACAAAGAAAAAAGCAGGUUGUAUCUUUCUGAAGCAAAGAAAAAUAUUCCACUGUGUCUUACCAGCAGUUGGAAGGUUUUUGUUUGUUUGUUUGUUUUGUUUUGUUUUAAAAGAAAAGCACCUUCAGAUACCUGCUGAUACUGUGUCUCAGCCAUGGAACUGUCCUGUACUGAAUAAGCACCCAGGAUGGUCCAUCCUGUCAGCAAUACCUUACACUGACUUAUGACGAGAAGGAGCUAAGUUAGAACAUUGCUUUAGCACAUUUCCUAUUCAACACUCUUUUUCUCUCAGCAUCCCUCUCUCUCAAAACACCCCUCCUUUUUUUUUUUUUUUUGUCUCCUUCCCAUCUCUAUGACCAUUCUCACAGCUGACUUUCUUCCUUCCUCUUCUGAGCAGGAAGAGACAGGUGCUAGAGAGAGGCCAUGUGAGGACAGGUGGCUGAACCUUCAGGUGAGACUUUUUGGAGUGGGCUUCAGAGUAGUUACCACAGGCUGGCUCUGUCCACAACAGAGGGAUAGAGAAAUCCAGUUGGAUCAGGAUAUCUAAAAGUGGCCAGCCUCUCAGGACUGACUCCUCAUGCUGACCAAACUCAGCGAUGGGCAACCAGAAUGCAUCUUCCAAAAUCGUAUGUAGCUGGAAAGGGCCGUGACCAGAGAUUGGUGAGAUGACCCAGUGGGUAAAAAUACUUUUUGGGCAAACCCGAUGACCCGAGUUUGAUCCCCAGAAUGCGAAUUUUUAAAAUUAAAGCUGUAUGUAGCUGUGUGCAUUGGUAAUCCCAGCACUUCUACACUGAGAUGAGAGAUAGAGAGGGGGAGGAAGCCUGAAGGGCCUAGGCCAGUGAGCCUGGAGUGUUCAGCACAGCAGGAAGCAUAAGAGAGAGAGCCUGCCCCAACAGGGUGCAAGGAGAGAAGAGCCUCCUGGAAGUUAUCUUCAGACCUCUGCAUGUAUCAUGGAGGGCGCAGCCCCCUUCCCCCACUACUAAUAAUGCCUUGCAUCCCAGGAACUCUCAGACGAUGGGAAGAAAAACAUCUCUGCUUUUAAAAGGAGCAAAAUCAACACCUGAUAAGAUAGGCAGCCUCACCACUCACUGGAAAGACAUGUGUUCGUCCACAGCGUGGUACCAUCACGCAAGCACAAAGCAAAGGCGAGCACUGGUGAUACCAGGAGCAGAGGGCGCACAGCACCCCGAACUCCUCCACUGCUGGUGAGAGCGCAGUUGCAUUAAGAAAUGGGCAAUGGUUUGCGGUGUUUCACACAGCCAAGCGUAUGCUUCAUCUGUGACCUAGCAGCCUCACCUUUAGGUAUUUGCCCAGGAGAAGUGAAAACUUUGAUUCAUACAUGCAUAAAGAUCUAUGCAUGAAUAUUUAUGUUAGGUUUAUUCAUAGUCACCCCAAACUGAACACAACCCAAAAAUACCUAAACCAUAGACAAGAAUAAGAAUUCAGAAUCUAAAAUUUAUGAUAUGGCUCAGCACAGUGGCAUCACUCAGGAACCCGAGGCAAAGCAAUCCCUUGAGUAUCCUGGACCAUGUCUUCACAAAACAAAACCAAAUCUAGCUAAAGACACAUGGAGUAUCACCCAUUCUGCAAUGAAAAGAGUGAGUUACUGACAGAUGUGAUAACAUUGGGCGCACUAAACCAAGUGUGAGAAACCAGACUGAACUGUAUGAUCCCAUUUAUUUGACAUUCAGAAAAAGACAACCCACAGGGAUAGCGAAUACAUCAGUUAUCAUGAGAGGUCACAGGGAAAGAAUGAAAGGCUGAACUACAAAGAAGCUGCACGAGGGACUCCGAUGGGCAUUUCCAAGCAUUUGUCAAAAUUCAUAGUGCCACACACUCUGUCCUAGUUAGGGGUACUACCGCUGUGGCAAAACACCAUGGCCAAAAGUGAGUUAAGAAGGAAAAGGGUCUUUUGGAUUAUGCGUCCACACCACUGUUCGUUUUUGAAGGAACUCAGUACAGGAACUCAAACAGGACAGGAACCUGGAGGCAGGAGCUGAGCAGAGGCUAAGGAGGUUUUGCUGCUUACAGGCUUGCUCCUCGCCUGCUUUCUUACAGAAUCCAGGACCAGGGGCAGCCCCACCCACAGUCGCCUGAGCCUGCCCCCACCAGUCACUAAUUAAGAAAAAUGCUCUACAGGCUUGCCUAAAGCUCCAUCUUAUGGAAGCAUUUUCCGAUUGAGGCCCCCCCACCCCUUUCGGAUGACUCUGGGUGUGUCAAGUUGACAUAAAACUAGCCAGUAAACACUCCAAAGAUUUAAAAUAGAACUCAAAAGCUAGAUUAAUAGCAAAUAUUUUGAAGAGAGUUUUUUUGUUUGUUUGUUUUAAGCUAGGGAUAAAAUGAGACAAAAAUAACAAGAUAGCCAGACACAGUGACGAGCAACUGUAAUGCCAGCAUUCAGGAAGAUGACACGUUGGAAGUCAGCCUUGGCUACAUAGUUUAAAAUUAUGUCUCAAAAAAACAGAACAAUAAUAAACUCAGUUUUAUCUAUGAAGGAGGUAAUCAGAAUUUAAACAUUUUAUCAGGGUCAUCUGAGCUACACAGUGAGUUUGAGGCCACUCAGUUAUGUGAGACCUUGCUUCCAAAUGUAUAUGUAAUGUAUACGUAAU